GACAGCCUUUUCUUUGUUGGAACAGAGAAAUAAAAAUAUGUAAGAGAUAAAAGCAAGUUUAUACUCUGAACUUUGAAGAAUUAUAAGUGCUAAUAUAAUUAGCACUUAUAAUUUCUGGAUAAACAAAUGUAGAAAUGAAGGCAGAUGCACAUAUGACAUAUGGAUAUAUGGAAUAUACAUGCUUGCUAGGUCUCUCUCUUGCAAGCCCCAAAGCAAUGAUAUCAUCAAGUCCCCAAACCUUCAACUCUAAAUGCAAUUCUCUACGACCAAGUAACCAGUGCUCCUUGGAAAAAUGACUGAUUCCAAGGCUGGGUCAGAACAAGAAGAGCCUAAAAAUGCCUCAUACUCGAAGAGUGCUAGAGACAUGUCAAAAGGACACAACGCUAGUGUAAAGGCUCCCAUUGGCUGAAGCUAGGACAAACAGAGCGUGAAAACAAAACAAUAAUAAAAUACAAGGACUUCAGUUGGCAUUAAUAAACAAAUGAAUAUAUAAUAGGAAGAAAACAAUUUUCCUUGAAGUAAAAUGCAAAAUAAUACAAAUAAAAGGAUAAUGGAAUUUGAAAAUCAUCAUCUAGGAGUCACUGCUGUAAUAAUUCACUUAACCAAGAAACAUCAAUAGAUAUGAAAGAUAUUGGUAAAAAAAUGAGACAAGGAAUGAGUUUUUACAUGGUUUUCAACAACCUCCUCAUAAUUCUUGGUAACCACAGAGAGAAGAUAAAGCCACUUUACAAUGGAGGACUCUGGUAGGCACAUCCUUUAAUCAAAUACUAAAUAAUUAGCAUGUGCCAUCAAAUAUCCCGAAAUGAGAAUUUACCAUCACUUCUGUGGUAUUCUGACCCCAAAUGAAUAGCCAAAGUUUAAUCAUGAGAAAAUACAGACAAAUCCAAAUUGAAGGACAAUUUGGAAAACGAGUAGCCUGUCAUUUUCCAAAGCACUGAGGUCAUGAAGUCACAGAAACAUGGAGCUGCUCCAGACUGGGAUCUGGAAGAGACUCGACAACUGAACCAAACCACCAUCCUUGAUGGGGUCCUCUAGUUAAAAUGAAUUUAGUAGACAGUUUGGUAGAGCUGAACGAGGUCUCAGACAGUAAAAAGUGGCUCUUCACACUACUCGGAUAGCUAUUUCACAGGUCUAAAUGGUUUCAAAAUUCAAAGUGUUAGAGGAAAGUAGUAACUUCCUUGUGAAGUUUAGAACAACAAAAGAUCUGGUCAUUUCCCUGCUGGUGACUGGCCAGCACUGUACAGCACGAGUGCCUUCAGACAGGGCAAGCUGCUCUCCCACUUCAGUGCCCACUGCGACGCAUGUAGCCUUGUGACCUCUGUAUUAGAGCAGUGGUUCUCAACCUUCCUAACACUGGAACCCUUCGAUACAGUUCCUCAUGUGAGGAUGACCUCCAACCAUAACAUUAUUUUCAUUGCUACUUCAUGACUGCAAUUCUGCUACUGUUAUCAACUGUAAUGUACAUAUUUGAUACACAAUCCCUGUGAAAGGGCCAGUCAGCCCCUGAAGAGGCCCCAACCCACAGGUUGAGAACCAGUGGGUUAAACCUGUCACACACCGUCACACUUCAACCUAGUCACACGUGAAAGUUUCAACACAAUUUCUCUAUUAACAAGCCAGAGGAAUCAAUAAUUUCCUAGGUAAUUCAGGAUCAAAUCUGCAAAUACUUCUCCUAACUCAGCUGAAAGUCAUACAGUGAGCUAAGUCCUUAACCUCCCUCUUAAAGGAGAGAAAGAGUUAAGAUACCUGGGCCCUCCAAUGGAGUUUCACGGUACAUACACACACUUCACUACAGGCCCAUGCCCAGCACAUGGCCUAUAGAAAACAAACUCAAUGGUAUUUCCAGUAAAUUCUUGGUCUUUUUUUUUUGUUGUUGUUGUUUUUUGUUUGUUUGGUUUUUUUUUUUUUUUUUUUGCCUUCCUGGUCUUAUGCUCGUAAUAUUAUGGCUUCUAAUUUUGUGUUUUUAUGGACUUGUGUAUGUGUUUUCAUGCUUUUCCUUCGUUGUUGUUUAAUGCCAGUCUGUUUGUUUUGUAAUUUUACUUGUUUGUUUUCUAAAGAGAAAGAAUGGGUUCAGUUGGGCAGGAGGGAGGUGGGGAGGAUCUGAAAGGAGAGGAAGAAGCAAAAGCAUGAUCAGAAUACAUUGUGUAAAAAACUAUUUUCAAUUAAAACAAAAAGUGAGUGCUAUUGGGGAUGGGGGUGGGAGUACACUGGGCCUUCAAGAUGGCUCAACAGGGACAGGAAAAGGUACUUGUCUCCCAGCCUGAAGAUCUGAGGUAGCUCCCUGGGAUCCACAGAGGAGAGAACCAAUUCCCACAGGUUGUUCUCUGACUCCCAUGUGUGCACUGUGAUGUACAUGUACAGAAACAGACAGCAGAUAGAUGAAACUUCCAAAAUUUAAGAUUUAAGAAAGCCCACACAACAGAAUUUUAUAGCCUUGACCUUUAUGUCAAGAAAAUAUGGGACCUUACUUUCUUAGAUAAUCUGAACUCUGGACUCUAAAUUAUUUUAGAGCUAACAGAUAACAAAAGAACUAUAUGUCCAUUUUUUAAAAUCAAUCUGAAAACAAAUAUAGAUUAUCCUUAUUUUGAAAAUGAAGUCUUAGGCGGCCCCGGCUUACAAGAGUUUAAUCACAGACACGCUGGACAGCUGCUUUAUGAUGGUGUAGGAACUCUGCACUCUGAAGGAAUUACACUUUCAGUUCUGGAUGUUCAUCUUCUCUCACUCUAUCAAUAUCCACUGGUUCUGCCUUGUAACCCUGAGCAGUAGAACACGCUGUAGCCAGUCGCCCACACUGUCAGGAGGGCAACAACCAAUACACAACAGUAACCGGAUUGCAAAGCUAACAUUCCUGGCAUGUUCGGUGUGUUAAACGCAUUUUCUGGGGCUGAAGAGAUUAAGAGCUCAGCAAUAAAGAACAAUGGCUGUGCUUCCAGGGAACCUGGGUUCAAUUCUCAGCACCCAUGUGGCAGCUCACAACCACCUAGAACCCCGGACUUUUUUCUUCUUGCCUCUCCCAGCAAUACAUGCAUGUAGUACACUUACGCACGCACAAGUAAAACAUUUAAUGUGCAUGAAAUAAAAAUAGAAAAAUCUUUUUAAAAUGUACUUUCAACUGAGUGACUAGAGUCAGCCAGAUCUUGCUAGGCAGACAAAGGGGAAGAGGGGCCAUGACUAGGAAACAAAGAUAGCAAACAUGCAGCUCCGUCCUCCCUCAUAUUUCUGACCACACACAAAGGUCUUCAGGCUUUCCCUCCAGCCACUAGAGCCUGUGGAGCAGUUUGACAAGGUCCUACAGGUCCAAGGCCAGAUCAGGACAUGUUUACCCCCAAAUUGUGGAUCUAUCAGCCUCUCUUCGUUCAAAUGGGAAAACCCUAAACUCAGGGAGGAAGCGCCUUUGAAGACCCCUCAAAGACUGGGAAAUCCCAGCUGCUGAGGAAAGGCCAGGCUUUGGCUUCCCAGUCUCUGUCCUGCAGGGACUUUCUCUGCAUGUGCCUUGUUCUGGGCUCCCUCGCCCAUAGCAAAAGCCUUUCUUUUAACCAGCUCACUCUGUGGUCUGUCUUGACAUCUUUCCCUGCUGCUACUUGUUGCACUUGAUAUUUGAAGUGGUGUUUGUUUGUUUGUUUGUUUGUUUGUUUUUCUUGACUUUUAAUUCUUUAACUGACAGAGGGAAAGGGGAAAAAACCCUACCAAGAGCCCUAAAUGGUAAGAAAGUGAUGACGGUGAUGUUGGAACAUGACUCAAUGGCAAGCAAGACGGAUCUGCGGUGGGAAUUUAUAAAUAGUACUGCACAGUGCCCCUAAGCUGCUUGUUUCAAGACCUUUAUCAAUAUAGAAGAAGCACAAGGGGGAAGCAAGCACAAAGUCAGUAAGAUCUUACUAAUGCUUCUCUCACGUACAAACUAUGACGUGGCCUGAACACCUGACAGUGUAUACUCUUACAGUCAGUCGGCAUCACAGAGCCUAGGUAUAGAAGAGUUAAGUACUCAAUUUGGUAGGUAUAUCUUCUACAUUCAGAACAAAUGCACAAAGCAAGGAGACUGCAGUAGUAGCACCUGAGUCAUCUUUAGCAUGUAGAGCUUCCUGCGGAGAGGGGUCACGGGCAAUGAGACUUCAUCUCAGGCACUCUUGCCAGAAGCAAGAGUUUCAUCCUAGCCUGACCUAGAAAAAUCUGAUGGAAGACAACAGGCGGCCUGAGCCGGAGAGCUCUGAUCUGCUGUCAACCAGCUGCAGCAGGGAAACUGCCAAAACGCUGCAGUUACUGGGCAGCGCCCUGCAGAGUCUGGGAGGGGAUUACCAGCCUGAUCCUUGGUCCUCAGAGCCAGAAAUGACUCAGACUUCACAAACAGCAAAGGCCUGCCAGGGAGAGUGACAGGCUAGGAAGGACUUCUCUCUGUCGCUGGUAUCUCUUCCCCCUACUUGCUGCGGUGGCAGAUUCUGGACAGUGUACAGCCUGUGAGGUAAUCUGAAUUCCUUGGCAAUCACCAAGUACCUGAAUUCUUUCAAAACCACAGGAAUCUAGCACAGAAAAGUCUCAAAGUAAAGCAACCUGGUGAUCUCAUCCCAAGCUGAUUACCUUCAGUUAUGGCUACACAAAACACACGUGACCCAAGAUUAGCAGAAGCUGCAGGUGCAGAGGAGCUGCAGACGGAUGCUGGAUGUAAUGACACAGCUGAGCGCACUCUGAGGGCUGAAAGGCAAGUGAAUGCCAAGAUAAACAGUGGCUAUUUAGGCACACUGAAGAAUCUACAGAGAACAGUGUACCUUGUAUAUCUGGAGCAAACAGCUCAAGAUAAUGCCAUGUAUAUACCAUCGAGAAGGAUUUCACAUCCACCUAGGUAAACCCACCAAAGAACUGAAAAUGUUUUUCCUUUUUUGGAUCAAUGUGGACCGAGUACUUAAAAAGCGAUUUUCCUAACAGUAAGGAAGAGUGUCCACUGACCAUAUAAAUGUGUGUCUGCACACGCAUGUAUAUGCUACUUCCUGCUGGAAGCAAUACAACUGUCACUAAAUUAGUAGCUUCUGACAUCUAAUGCAACAGGUAGCCAGAAUACUUGUUUAUCUGUAGCAAACUGUAAUGAAUGCUAGUAUUGCUCUCACUCUAUGAGCAUAUGAACCAUAAAGAUAAAAACACUAUAUAAAAUUUUACUCAAGAGUGGGGGCUACUAAUAUUGCAGGUGAAACAUCUUUAGAAUAUAUUGGCAUGACACACUUGAGAAACAGUGUCAUAAAUAACCUUCUCUCUUCCAGAAAACCAAGCAGGACCAAGGCGAGAAACUGAGGUGGAGGAAGGCUAGAGGAGCUCGGAAGUCUCUAAGUAUAAACCACAGUCCCCAGCACCCGAGGCCCCAGGAGAAGUCCAAGGACUUUACCUUCCCUCUCUUCCAGAUAAUAUGGAAAGGAGGCUUUUUUAAAAAUCCAUGUCUGUCUCCUUUCUAUGUAUACUUCCAAGUACAGAAGCUCAUAUCCAGAAAUGCUGUAGAAAAUGCCUUCCCUAUGACAGUGCAAUUGGAGCAAAUAGUUCAUGUGAGAUGCUGGUCCAGGCCCUCAUUCAACAACUGGGAAAUGUUUUAUUUUCCUCCUUCUUGAGUUUUCAAGAGACAAGAGGCCAGGACUAUGGAGUUUCAGUAGCCCCCAGUGUUCUCAGGGCUCCAACUCAUAAAUCUUAGUUAAGAAUAUGACAGAACUUAUAAAAGCUGUCAUUGCCACCUAGAGGUGAAGGGAAGACAUGGCUAAGCCAGCUAGCAGCUUAGGUUAGUCCUCACUUGACUCCAAAACAAAUUAGAAGUAGAAAACUCAGCUGUCACAGUUCAGUAUGGCCUGUCAAAUCCGCUCUCCAUAAACAGGGACUGGAGAGACUCUGGGAGGACAGGGAAUCAUGUUUUCUUCGUCACAUAAACACAAAUGGCCAGCCUUUAUUUUAUUCACGUAGUCUCCAUUUUCAAAAUCAAUUUUCUAAAAUCAGAAAAAUGCACAGACUGUGACCUUCAGCUUAUUAUGUCUGCGCACAGAUGCAAAGAACCCUCUUAGACGGCUAUAAACUAUCCUAUCAAAGCCAUGAACAGGAGAACUUCAGAGCAAACUAGCCCAUUAAAAAAAAAAAAAAGUAAGUGAAAGGCACACAAGAAAGUCACAUACUUUUUAAAAUAGCUUAGUGGAUUUAUGGAAACUGUUACCUGUAAGUCUUUGUGGGUAUGGGAGACAAAAUUUCAAGUUAUUAUAAUUUAAUUCUGUUGUCAGGCAGUACCUUAAAACCUACUAAGCAUCACACACACACACAAAUUAUAUUCAUAAUCACAUCAAAGUAUAUGACUGUAUAUCUGUAUGUAUAUUAAGGGGUGAAAGCCAUGAAUAUCGUGAAUGGGGGAAAACAUGACCAUUCAAUGAGCUCCAAUUCCUACCCACUACCCCAUUAGGGGAACUCAGAAACCACUACCCCCUCAAAUAUGCAAACCUAUUUCUUCUGCUGCAGAAAAGGCUGCAAGUUUUGCAAUUGCAAGGAUUAACAUAAGGACAUGGUGUAUGACAAGUAAAUAAAUGUGACUUAUUUCCCUUCCAGAUCUACUCUGAAAAACAUUACAAUCUUUUUUAAUAUCCUAGGGCCCUCAUAACAACUCUCAGUAUGCAUGAAACUACCCUGUGGUCUCUAUAACUGAGGAAACUUGUGUCUCCACCUUAUGCAGCCCUGCAGGUGAAGAUGUAGAGCACCAAGGCUGCUUUCUGUCAUUUGAACCCACCCAGGUACACUCUGUUUCCCUGUUUCCCUAAGUUGAACCUAACAGAAAGCAGCAGCCUGGUCUUAGAAACCUUUUUAACAGAUUCACUCUAUAGAUGCAGCCAAUCCCUGCACCCGAGAAAGCUGCUUACCUAGCCAGUCCUUCCUCAUAGAGAUAGAUGACAAGGGGAUCAUAGGAAGUCACGAGCACAUAGAGGCGCACGUCAAACUUGAAAUCUAGGAAGAAAGUUGGGCAUCACAAGAAAAGCUAACUUCAUUUGUUUUCUGUUACAAAGAACAGGACAACACAACCAGGAGCUAUGAAGAAUGAACAAUCCUUACCACAUAAAACACACACUGCACACAUCUUGUAUUUUGAUCAUAUACUGGUGUGCGGUAUAGUCACUAAAUACAUACAGUAUGAUGUCGUAACAUGGACCAAACACAGCUCCAAGGAUGGAGUCAUGUGACGAUUUCUGAGUGCUUUUGAGAAAAUGCCAAGAAACCAAGAAUCUUGUGACCUCAGUUUCUUCCAAAAUCAUGGAAAUGUUCUUAUAUCAUUCUUUGUGCCCCUUCCAGGUGUAGCAAAUUGGAGUGAAUUUACUGCAAAUUAUUCAUUACAACUGUUUAUUAUUAGUUUAUAUGCCUCUAAGGAAAACCACAUUUUUGCCACAUGCAGUUUGUCUUUUUGCCUCUAACGCUUUGCUGAUGUGAUUCCUCUUAACCCUGAAGAGUAUAAAUUGUCUGAUGCUCUGAAUAAAGUUGGCUACUGCACACA